rnacentral:rRNA from 1 species
UACGAAGGGGGCUAGCGUUGUUCGGAAUCACUGGGCGUAAAGCGCACGUAGGCGGAUCUUUAAGCCAGGGGUGAAAUCCCGAGGCUCAACCUCGGAACUGCCUUUGAUACUGGGGAUCUCGAGUCCGGGAGAGGUGAGUGGAACUGCGAGUGUAGAGGUGAAAUUCGUAGAUAUUCGCAAGAACACCAGUGGCGAAGGCGGCUCACUGGCCCGAUACUGACGCUGAGGCACGAAAGCGUGGGGAGCAAACAGG